CCUACGGGAGGCAGCAGUGAGGAAUAUUGGUCAAUGGACGAGAGUCUGAACCAGCCAAGUAGCGUGAAGGAUGACUGCCCUAUGGGUUGUAAACUUCUUUUAUAAAGGAAUAAAACGAGGCACGUGUGCCUUUUUGCAUGUACUUUAUGAAUAAGGAUCGGCUAACUCCGUGCCAGCAGCCGCGGUAAUACGGAGGAUCCGAGCGUUAUCCGGAUUUAUUGGGUUUAAAGGGAGCGUAGAUGGGUUGUUAAGUCAGUUGUGAAAGUUUGCGGCUCAACCGUAAAAUUGCAAUUGAUACUGGCAGUCGUGAGUACAGUUGAGGUAGGCGGAAUUCGUGGUGUAGCGGUGAAAUGCUUAGAUAUAACGAAGAACCCCGAUUGCAAAGGCAGCUUACUAAACUGUGACUGACAUUGAUGCUCGAAAGUGUGGGUAUCAAACAGGAUUAGAUACCCCAGUAGUC
rnacentral:rRNA from 1 species